UGUCAAUCGGUAGCCUGGCUCUUGGGAA
rnacentral:sRNA from 1 species